GGGCAAGUCUGGUGCCAGCAGCCGCGGUAAUUCCAGCUCCAAUAGCGUAUAUUAAAGUUGUUGCAGUUAAAAAGCUCGUAGUUGAAUUUCGGGACCAAUAUGUCAGUCGUACUUUGUACGUACUAUCAUCAUUGGUUUCUCCCUUCUGAAGAACCGCGAUGUCAUUAAUUUGGUGUCGUGGGGAAUCAGGACUGUUACUUUGAAAAAAUUAGAGUGUUUAAAGCAGGCUAACGUCUGAAUACAUUAGCAUGGAAUAAUGAAAUAGGACGGACUGAUUCUAUUUCGUUGGUUUCUAGGAUCACCGUAAUGAUUAAUAGGGAUAGUUGGGGGCAUUAGUAUUCAAUUGUCAGAGGUGAAAUUCUUGGAUUUAUUGAAGACUAACUACUGCGAAAGCAUUUGCCAAGGAUGUUUUCAUUAAUCAAGAACGAAAGUUAGGGGAUCGAAGACGAUCAGAUACCGUCGUAGUCUUAACCAUAAACUAUGCCGACUAGGGAUCGGACGAAGUUAAUUUUAUAAUGACGCGUUCGGCGCCUUACGGGAAAC
rnacentral:rRNA from 1 species